rnacentral:tRNA from 1 species
GUAGCUCAGUCGGGUAAGCGCCCGCUUCUCACGCAAGAGAUGCGGGUUCGAAUCCCGGCGCUGACA